rnacentral:rRNA from 1 species
UACGAAGGUCCCAAGCGUUAUCCGGAUUUAUUGGGCUUAAAGGGUGCGUAGGCGGGUUAUUAAGUCUGUGGUGAAAGCCUUCAGCUUAACUGAAGAAUUGCCAUUGAUACUGAUGAUCUUGAGUAUGAUUGAGGUGGGCGGAAUGUGUCAUGUAGCGGUGAAAUGCUUAGAUAUGACACAGAACACCGAUUGCGAAGGCAGCUCACUAAGUCAUAACUGACACUGAUGCACGAAAGCGUGGGGAGCAAACAGG